rnacentral:rRNA from 1 species
AUUGAACGCUGGCGGUAUGCUUAACACAUGCAAGUCGAACGGUAGCAGGCCUUCGGGCGCUGACGAGUGGCGGACGGGUGAGUAACGCGUAGGAAUCUGCCUCAUAGUGGGGGACAACGUGGGGAAACUCACGCUAAUACCGCAUACGCCCUACGGGGGAAAGCGGGGGCUCUUCGGACCUCGCGCUAUGAGAUGAGCCUGCGUUAGAUUAGCUAGUUGGUAGGGUAAAAGCCUACCAAGGCGACGAUCUAUAGCUGGUCUGAGAGGACGAUCAGCCACACUGGGACUGAGACACGGCCCAGACUCCUACGGGAGGCAGCAGUGGGGAAUAUUGGACAAUGGGCGAAAGCCUGACGCAGCAACGCCGCGUGGGGGAUGAAGGUUCUCGGAUUGUAAACCCCUUUCGAUCGGAACGAAUCUCCUCCUGGUAAAUAAUCAGGAGGAUCGACGGUACCGGGAGAAGAAGCCACGGCUAACUCUGUGCCAGCCGCCGCAGUAAAAC